CAUCCAGACAGGUGGUGCAUGGUUGUCGUCAGCUCGUGUCGUGAGAUGUUGGGUUAAGUCCCGCAACGAGCGCAACCCUUGUAUUCAGUUGCUACGCAAGAGCACUCUGGAUAGACUGCCGUUGACAAAACGGAGGAAGGUGGGGAUGACGUCAAAUCAUCAUGCCCCUUACGACCUGGGCCACACACGUACUACAAUGGCGCACAACAGAGGGAAGCAAGACAGCGAUGUGGAGCAAACCCCUAAAAUGCGUCCCAGUUCAGAUUGCAGGCUGCAACCCGCCUGCAUGAAGUCGGAAUUGCUAGUAAUCGCGGAUCAGCAUGCCGCGGUGAAUACGUUCCCGGGCCUUGUACACACCGCCCGUCACACCAUGGGAGCCGGUAACACCCGAAGUCAGUAGCCUGACCGCAAGGAGGGCGCUGCCGAAGGUGGGAUUGGUGACUGGGGUGAAGUCGUAACAAGGUAGCUGUAUCGGAAGGUGCGGUUGGAUCACCUC
rnacentral:rRNA from 1 species